AUUGAACGCUGGCGGCAUGCCUUACACAUGCAAGUCGAACGGCAGCGGGGGAGAAGCUUGCUUUUCCUGCCGGCGAGUGGCGAACGGGUGAGUAAUACAUCGGAACGUGCCCUGUAGUGGGGGAUAACUAGUCGAAAGAUUAGCUAAUACCGCAUACGACCUGAGGGUGAAAGUGGGGGACCGCAAGGCCUCAUGCUAUAGGAGCGGCCGAUGCCUGAUUAGCUAGUUGGUGGGGUAAAGGCCUACCAAGGCGACGAUCAGUAGCUGGUCUGAGAGGACGAUCAGCCACACUGGGACUGAGACACGGGCCAGACUCCUACGGGAGGCAGCAGUGGGGAAUUUUGGACAAUGGGCGAAAGCCUGAUCCAGCAAUGCCGCGUGUGUGAAGAAGGCCUUCGGGUUGUAAAGCACUUUUGUCCGGAAAGAAAUGGCUCUGGUUAAUACCUGGGGUCGAUGACGGUACCGGAAGAAUAAGGACCGGCUAACUACGUGCCAGCCGCCGCCGUAA
rnacentral:rRNA from 1 species